rnacentral:tRNA from 1 species
GGGGAUUUAGCUCAGUGGUAGAGCGCUUGCCUAGCAAGCACAAGGUCCUGGGUUCGGUCCCCAGCUCCU